rnacentral:misc_RNA from 1 species
AACGGUCUAUACCUGCGGUACCUGCGGAAGGAUCAUUAUAGAGUGGUAAACCUCCCGUAAAAGGGGGGGACCUCCUGUCCUUUGUAGGCUCUUUUUUAAAAGGGCUUUUUUUAAUUUUCUGCUUCGGUGGGGUUAUCCCACCGGAACAACCUCAAAACUCUCAUCACAAAAUCGUUCUGUCUGAGAACCUUUUAUAAUAAAAAAAAACUUUUAACAACGGAUCUCUAGAUCGGAAGAGCA